rnacentral:rRNA from 1 species
AUGGAGCCCAAGUCCCAGCCCGCGGCGCACGGCGACGGGGCGCCGGCCGAGGCCCCCCGCCGCCGCGGCGGCGGCGGCAAGCGCAAGGCGUCGGGGUCGUCGUUCACGCCGUCCAAGCGGCACGCCAAGGAGCGCAACGCCGCCUUCCACGCGCCCUCCCACAUGCUGCACAGCGGGCCGCUCACGCGCGCCGCGCGCCAGUCGCCGCACAAGCUCUCGACCGCCCCGGCGGAUGCGGCCCCCGCGGCGGCCGUGCCGGGGGGAUCGGGCCCGGGCGAGGGCUCCGCGAUUCGGCCCGACGAGGUGCAGACGCCCGCCGAGGAAACGCCGCUGGUGGAUGAGGGGUUCGAGGCCGUUCGAUCCCGCGGCGCCGGCGUCCAUGUGGUCCCUACCUUCGCCGGAUGGUUUUCAUGGAAGGAAAUCCACCAAGUUGAGAAGCAAACCCUGCCUUCGUUUUUUAACGGAAAAUCGGAGAAGCGGACACCAGAGAUAUACUCGGGGAUUAGAAAUUCUAUCAUGAUGAAAUUUCAUGCCAAUCCUCAGCUGCAGCUGGAGCCCAAAGAUUUGGCUGAGCUGUCAGUUGGGGAGGUCGAUGCUCGACAGGAAGUGUUUGAUUUUUUGGAUCACUGGGGCCUGAUCAAUUUCCACCCUUUUCCACCUGCUGGCCUAGAAGAGAGUAAGCCAGAGGAGAGCCAAAGCGAUUCUCGCAAUGAGGAGAAAGCUUCUCUCAUUGAGAAGCUGUUUAAAUUUGAACCGGUUCAGUCAUACAUGAUUCCUUUACCAAAUAAAGGGGAGGGGGAAAUUCCAGUGCCUCUGCCUACGUUGCUUCCUGAUCCUGUUCUAGUGGAAGAUGUAAUUGCAGCAGCUGAGCCUUCCGUUGAGUACCAUUGCAACUCUUGUUCAGUUGAUUGCUCAGGCAAGCGCUAUCAUUGCCGGACCCAGGCAGAUUUUGACCUGUGUUCUAACUGCUACAACGAAGAAAAAUUCGAUGGAGGCAUGUCCAAAACAGAUUUCAUCCUCAUGGAUUCCACAGAAGUUUCUGGUGCUCGUGGUACUAGCUGGACUGAUGAGGAGACAUUGCUUCUCUUAGAAGCUCUGGAAAUUUUUGGUGGAAAAUGGACUGAGAUUGCCGAACAUGUUGCUACAAAAACAAAAACACAGUGUAUGUUACACUUUCUGCAAAUGCAAAUUGAGGAUCGCUUCCAUGAUGGUGAUGAUAUUCACCAAAAUAUCCAUGAAAGCACAGAGCAAGCCUUGGUGGAAAAAAGCACCCCUGAAGUACCUGAGAAAAUGGAAACUGAAGAGAAAGUUGAAGGAAAAGAUACCAAGGAUGAGAAGCCUUCAGAGAAAACGGAAGGCAAUCACACAGAAGAAAAAACAGAAGAAGGAAGUGUUGUUGAAAAUAAAGAUGCCAAAAAUUCAGGUGGUGCAGAUUCAGUCACAACACCAAACGUUGAUGAGCCAAAACCAUCUUCUGAUACUGACCUAGCAAAGGAAAAUUCUGUUAAUCUUGAUACUUCUGAGAAAAAUGCGCCAGAUGAUGCUAUUGUUAUUUCUGGUGAAAAUGCAUCAAAUGAUGCUAUUGAUAUCCUGAAAUCUGCGUUCGAGGCUGUUGGUAACUUCCCUGGACAUGAAGGUUCGUUUGCUGAUGCAGGGAAUCCUGUUAUGGCAUUGGCAGCAUUUUUGGCUGGUCUUGUGGAAGAUGACAAUGCUACCACUUCUUGCCGUAGUUCACUAAAAGCUAUCUCAGAGGAUUCUCCUGCACUACAAUUGGCAAGUAGGCACUGUUAUAUUCUUGAAGAUCCACCGAGUGAUCUGAAAGACAUUUUUGUCACUGUAAGUAAUACAAAUAAAGAUGAGGAUCAAGCAAAAGGUGAGGAUCAAGCAAAAGGUGAGGAUCAAGCAAAAGAUGAGCAUAUGGUCAUAGAUUCAACUGGUACUGAGAAAAAGGACAUCAAUGUUAAGGAAGAGAAUACCGUGUCUGUGGAAAAGCAAAACAGUCCAUCCAUUUCACCAAAAGACCACAAAGAAUCAGAUACUAAGAAUGUAUCUUGCGAUGAUGAAGCACCCACAGUGGAGCCUAAAUCCAAUAAAGCUAAGGAGACCGAUGAUCCAGUUCCUCUGGUGGAUAAGGCUUCUCAAGAGGUUGUUGCAGGAAGUACUACAUGUGCAACUAAUCCUGAGCUGUUAAAGGACAAACCAAGUUCUGAAGUGGAGCCAGAUGAUGAUUCACCUUCACAAGGCAAGAUCGAGCUUAACAAGACUGAAGAUGCAGUUGCUGCCCCAACUGCCGUACAAGAAGAUGAGGAAACCCAUACAUUGGGGAAUGGCAAGCUGGAAGAACCUAACAGUGCUGAAAAUGUACCUGCCGAUGGAGAGAUGGUCUCAAGAGUGACCGCCGAGCAUAAUGAUUCCUUAACUAGGCUAAAACGAGCCGCAGCGACUGCUGUUUCAGCAGCUGCUGCGAAGGCUAAGCUCCUUGCUGAGCAGGAAGAAGAUCAAAUUCGACGGCUAGCUGCACUGGUGGUUGAGAAACUGCUGCAGAAGACGGAGGCGAAGAUGUCAUUAUUUGCAGAUGUUGAGCAUGUGGCCCUGCGCACAAGAGAAUACACUGAAAAGACCAGAAAGAAGCUUCUGAUGGAGCGGAACGCAAUAAUCGCAGCUCGCAUGGGUGCACUGCCAUCUAGGCCGAACCAGCAGGGUGCAGCUGGGAACAGAUUGCCGCCCGGAUAUGGCGCCCCUGCAGUAAGACCGCCAAACGCAAUGCCCCGGCCGAGCAGCUGA